GGCCGAGCGCAGGGCAGGCUGGGAAAGGAGCUCACGUGGGCCGGAGGCGGGGCGCUGGCAGCCGGACGGCACCAAGGACGUCUCAAGGAGCGGGGGGAGGAGGCGCCCGGCGCUUUCUUGGCCGCCCGUUCAAGCAAACCGCGAGGUGGCGGUCGCCCUCCCCUCCGCCUUGUGGCAGGUGGUACGGGCCGGCGCGGAGGGUCGGUCUCAUCGUCCCUCCCCCCGUGCCGUUGCGCUGAAGGCUUUCACCUCUUCCGGGGAGGCUGAUGGAGAUAUCUGAGAGGUUUUCUCCUUUUUUGGAAUCCGGUUCUACUGCCUCAAAUGAGAGCUGGGUUGCAGAGGCUCAGGUGGGCAAGGUGUGAUGUUGCCAAUGUGUGGAUGCUUUCAUGGGUUCUCUGCAGUGUUUUUAUUAAGUCCAUGUUUUAUGAACAAAGUCUUUGAUAAGUUUUGAUAGUAAUAGACAAUAUUGUGGACACAGAUAAGGAUUCAAAGCAAUCUCAAUUUAAAAAACCUGCUUGCUUUUUAUUUAGAUGAUAUGAACUGGGUUCGAUAGAGCUUGGCUUCAACCAACAGACUCUUAAAACAUCAAUUUUGCACUAUUUCCUUGUUCCUUCUACCCUUUGCCCUACUUCAGAUCAGAACCUGCUUUACUACUUCAGUCUUGGUCCUUCUGCCCUUCAUAAUUUGUGGUCACAUUUAGUGCUGGAAGUGGUGAGAGAAGGCGGGGGGGGAAGGCAGAAGAGGAGAGCUGAAAACUGGCCCGAUGUUAAAACUCACUGUAACUUCAACUGAAAUUAAAUGUAACAUGUAUGUAACUCUUGGUUUUCAAUAAAAUGGUAAAAACUG